rnacentral:rRNA from 1 species
AUGACGGACAUGGGCGAUCUUCACUACUUUCUCGGCAUCCGGGUUCAUCGCACGGCGCGUGGGUUCUUCCUCAACCAAUCCCAGUACGCCGACGAGCUUCUUCAACGAGCCGGCAUGUCUCAGUGUCAUCCUGCAUCUACCCCUGUUGAUACGUCACCCAAGGUUCCUGCUGAUGCUGGCUCCCUGGUGGAUGAUCCGUCUGAGUACCGUAGUCUUGCUGGCGGGCUUCAGUACCUUACCAUGACGCGCCCUGACUUGGCCUACGCAGUUCAGCAGGCAUGCCUACACAUGCAUGACCCUCGUGACUGCCAUCUCGCCAUCAUCAAGCGCAUCUUGCGGUAUGUUCGUGGCACCUCCACCUAUGGCCUCCUUCUGUCAUCUUCUGCCUCUACGGAGAUCGUGGCUUACUCCGAUGCGGAUUGGGCCGGCUGCCCGGACACUCGACGAUCUACCUCGGGCUAUUGCGUCUACCUCGGCGGCACACUCGUGAGUUGGUCCUCCAAGAGGCAAACCACUGUCUCUCGCUCCAGCACGGAAGCAGAGUAUCGCGCCGUCGCCAACGCCGUUGCUGACUGCGUGUGGCUACGGCAACUCCUUGAUGAGCUUGGUUGUUCUCUCCCGAAGGCCACGAUUGUGUUUUGUGAUAACAUCUCGGCGGUGUACAUGUCCACCAAUCCAGUGCAUCACAGGCGGACGAAACACAUCGAGCUGGACAUUCAUUUUGUCCGGGAGAAGGUGGCUCUCGGCGACUUCCGGAUUGUACAUGUUCCCACCACUCAACAACUCGCGGAUAUUAUGACCAAGGGCCUCCCGGCAGCAGCUUUUCAAGCCUUUCGUUCCAGUCUAUGUGUCUUGCCAAGCGACGACAGCUCGACUGCGGCGGGGUGUUAG